rnacentral:lncRNA from 1 species
UUGGAAAUAAACUUGCGUCGUUUUGGUCGACUUAAGCAAUUCAAUCCGUGCGUAUGUUGAAACGCGAAGCAUACGCGCCUGUGUAGCAAGGCGAUACGCAUGCGAUUCCAUAUUGCGAUUCGUGCGUGUGGGAGACAAUGCGUAAAGCAAUACGCGUCCAAUCGCACAUCACACGCAUACAGUCCGCAAGGCUAUUCACAUGCGAAUACACGUUGCGUUCCAUGCGUAUGAAGGCUGAUUGCAUACUUAACGCGGCCUAACACACACCAAACGCACACAUGUCGCAACGCAAUUCACAUGCAAACAAAUGUUGCAUUUCAAGCGUAUGAAGGCUCGUUGCGUCAAGUUUACUGCGGCCUAACACACCAAACACACACCAAACACACACCAGACACACACCAGACACACACCAAACACACACCAGACACACACCAAACACACACCAAACACACACCAAACACACACCAAACACACACCAAACACACACCAAACACACACCAAACACACACCAAACACACAC